rnacentral:rRNA from 1 species
UACGUAGGGGGCAAGCGUUGUCCGGAAUCAUUGGGCGUAAAGCGCGUGUAGGCGGCUUGGUCAGUCUGCUCUGAAAGCCCGGGGCUCAACCCUGGGAGGCGGGUGGAUACUGCCGAGCUCGAGUCCGGAAGAGGCGAGUGGAAUUCCUGGUGUAGCGGUGAAAUGCGCAGAUAUCAGGAGGAACACCAAUGGCGAAGGCGGCGACCUGGACAGUAACUGACACUCAACUACGAAAGCGUGGGGAGCAAACAGG